rnacentral:rRNA from 1 species
GCAUAUCAAUAAGCGGAGGAAAAGAAACUAACAAGGAUUCCCCUAGUAACGGCGAGUGAAGAGGGAAGAGCCCAAGAUUGAAAGCUGGCGUCUUCGGCGUCCGCAUUGUAAUCUCAAGAAGUGUUUUCCGCUUCGGACCAUGCCUAAGUCCCUUGGAAAAGGGCAUCAUAGAGGGUGAUAAUCCCGUACAUGGCAUGGAGCGCCCGAGGCUUUGUGAUACGCUUUCUAAGAGUCGAGUUGUUUGGGAAUGCAGCUCAAAAUGGGUGGUAAAUGCCAUCUAAGGCUAAAUAUUGGGGAGAGACCGAUAGCGAACAAGUACAGUGAUGGAAAGAUGAAAAGAACUUUGAAAAGAGAGUUAAACAGUACGUGAAAUUGCCAAAAGGGAAGGGUAGGAGGUCAGAGAUGCGUCUUGGGAUUCAGCCUUGCUUUUGCUUGGUGUUUUUCCCAAGUUGCAGGCCAACGUCGGUUUUGGGCACUGGAGAAGGGUGGAAGGAACGUGGCACCUCUCGGGGUGUGUUAUAGCCUUCCACUGGAUACAGCGACCGGGACCGAGGACAGCAGCGUACUCGCAAGAGCGGGCCUUCGGGCACCUUUACGCUUAGGACGUUGGCAUAAUGGCCCUCUACCACCCGUCUUGAAACACGGACCAAGGAGUCUAACAUGUAUGCGAGUCUUUGGGUGGCAAACCCAUAGGCGCAAUGAAAGUGAAUUCAGGUGGGAUCCGCAAGGUGCACCAUCGACCGAUCCUCACGUCUUUUAAGUCGUGGAUUUGAGUAAGAGCAUACCUGUUGGGACCCGAAAGAUGGUGAACUAUGCCUGAAUAGGGUGAAGCCAGAGGAAACUCUGGUGGAGGCUCGUAGCGGUUCUGACGUGCAAAUCGAUCGUCAAAUUUGGG